GAUGAACGCUGGCGGCGUGCCUAAUACAUGCAAGUCGAGCGAACAGACGAGGAGCUUGCUCCUCUGACGUUAGCGGCGGACGGGUGAGUAACACGUGGAUAACCUACCUAUAAGACUGGGAUAACUUCGGGAAACCGGAGCUAAUACCGGAUAAUAUAUUGAACCGCAUGGUUCAAUAGUGAAAGACGGUUUUGCUGUCACUUAUAGAUGGAUCCGCGCCGAAUUAGCUAGUUGGUAAGGUAACGGCUUACCAAGGCGACGAUGCGUAGCCGACCUGAGAGGGUGAUCGGCCACACUGGAACUGAGACACGGUCCAGACUCCUACGGGAGGCAGCAGUAGGGAAUCUUCCGCAAUGGGCGAAAGCCUGACGGAGCAACGCCGCGUGAGUGAUGAAGGUCUUCGGAUCGUAAAACUCUGUAAUUAGGGAAGAACAAAUGUGUAAGUAACUAUGCACGUCUUGACGGUACCUAAUCAGAAAGCCACGGCUAACUACGUG
rnacentral:rRNA from 1 species